AUAGGUAGUUCUACGUCUCAUUUAUUGGAGGAAAGCUCAAAUAUAGCUUGGGAACAAAUCUUAGAACUAGUUUGCUCUAGAUCAUCUCCGCCGAAAACAACCAUCGAAUCAUGGCUGCCAAUGAAACACGCACAAACUACGAGUUGCUAAGCCCAGCACACCCUCGGCUUCCGGGAUUCAUGAAGGUAUUCUACUCCAUCCAGAGUUCCAACGCAAUUCGAUUACCGCCGGAGUUCAUCGCUACACAUGGUGAAUCUCUUCCUGAGGAUUGUACCGUUGAGAUGCCUAAUGGCCGGAAGUGGAAUGUCAAAAUUAAAAGGCGCACAUGCGGUUGGUACUUCAAGCAAGGGUGGGCUGAGUUUGUGUAUAGAAAUCAUAUUCACAAUGGGGAUUUCCUCACAUUUAUCUAUCCCGCCACCGGUGUGUUUCACAUUACGCAUUACGAUUUCAUGAGUGGGUGCAUCCCGGCCAGGGACAUUGAACAUAUGUAGUAGACAUGGUGAUAUUAGAUACGUUUUUAUCCAUUUAUAUAUAGUGAACAAAUAAUUUACAGUUUGAUUUGUUAUCAUUAUAGACUUGCCAUUCCACGAAACAACUUAAGAAGCUGAUAUAGAUUCGUCGGAUGAUUGGUUCCUUUCGGACACCGAUGAAAACUCCAUCACAAACUCUCCCACCGGUGUUGAAAUAACUACUCACACUAUGUUGCCUGCCUUCAGUUUGGUAAUAACGAACGUUCACAUGGGUCCUUAUAUGGCUAUAGAAAUUGAGUUCUGGUCCGCCAAUAAUGUCAAACAAGGAGAGAACAUGGCAGCAUUUUUCACUGUCCAUUAUCAAACGUGGGGGGUGUUCAUAGCCAACUGCAAUGAUAUAUUCAUAGUUCAUGGAGGUUGGAUGAAUUUUGUUCGGGACAACGAUGUUGAAGUCGGUGUACGAUGCAUGUUUCAACUCGUUGAUGCUGAAAAUCUGCACUUUCGGGUCAUAUUUAGCCGCUAAGCACGUACCUCUUUCGAUCUAAUUCGUGCGCUUUCAUUAGACGCUCUUGUUCUAAC